rnacentral:rRNA from 1 species
CGGCGGACGGGUGAGUAACACGUGGAUAACCUACCUAUAAGACUGGGAUAACUUCGGGAAACCGGAGCUAAUACCGGAUAAUAUUUUGAACCGCAUGGUUCAAAAGUGAAAGACGGUCUUGCUGUCACUUAUAGAUGGAUCCGCGCUGCAUUAGCUAGUUGGUAAGGUAACGGCUUACCAAGGCAACGAUGCAUAGCCGACCUGGGAGGGUGAUCGGCCACACUGGAACUAAGACACGGUCCAG